UCGAAAUCAGAAUUUGCAAAGUCAACUGUCAAAAUUGCUCUCUUUACUCGCUUUUGGUACAAAAUAUUGCAUAAUAUUAGUUUAUCGUAUUUAUCUUUUAAAAACCGGCGCUCCGCUACAUUUUUAAUUUAAUUGGCAAUGUUUAUUACCCGACGAAAUUAUAUUACGCAUUACGUGUUUCCAAAUUCGUAUGCAAAACUGCUACAAAAGUUAUAAAUCCGUGUCUGCGAAUUUGAGAUAAUUUUCCUGUAGAAAGUUCUGUAAAAAUAUUCGAUUUUUGAAAAGUUUUGAAAAAUUCAGAAGAAAAUGUCGAUUUUUUUUUGAAAUUAUUUAUCAUACAAAUUUCCGAAAUCCUCAAAGGCAUGGUACAUAAACGUCCAAGGAAAAAGACGGCAGAAUUCGAGUGCAGUGAUUCUGAUGUCAUAAUACCAUGCUGCUGAUUUUGAAAUUCUCUGUAAUUUUGAUAUUUGUUUUAGUUUUUUUUUUUUUUUCGAAAAUCCUAACGUUUUCUUUUUUUUAAGGAUACGACAAACGGCUAAGCAUGUGCGCUAACAUUGAGACUCUUAGAAGAUGUUUGGGAUAUUUUUCCAGAUUUUUUUAAAAAGCACUGAAAAUGUACAGAAGAUCUUAAAAGAAAUAGACGGCAAAAUUGUUGGCGAGCUACACGCGGAUUGCAAAUAUUCAAUGUACAAAUGUUCAAUGGUUAACAAUUUAAAUUUUGGCAGAACUUGUUUUUUGUGUUGAAAAUUAAAUAUAAUAAAAAUGAUAUAAAAAAACUGCAACAAA